UCAGGCCUGGAAUGUUCGUGAUGCUAUGAAUAAUAAUUGACCCAACGCUAUUUUAAAAGGGAUCUUUUCAAGAACCCACUAUUUUAAAAUGGUUCAAUUUUUUCAUUGCGCACGGCAUUCCGGGUUAAUU
rnacentral:other from 1 species